rnacentral:ncRNA from 1 species
UAUCUGGUUGAUCCUGCCAGUAGUCAUAUGCUUGUCUCAAAGAUUAAGCCAUGCAUGUCUAAGUAUAAGCACUUGUACUGUGAAACUGCGAAUGGCUCAUUAAAUCAGUUAUCGUUUAUUUGAUUGUACCUUUACUACUUGGAUAACCGUGGUAAUUCUAGAGCUAAUACAUGCGAAAAGUCCCGACUUCUGGAAGGGAUGUAUUUAUUAGAUUCAAAACCAAUGCGGGUUCUGCCCGGUCAUUUGGUGAUUCAUAGUAACUGUUCG